rnacentral:ncRNA from 1 species
GGACUCUGGAGAAUCUCAUUGAAUUGAGUGCCGAAGGUGCAAGGCGGCCCAGCCGCCGAAUCUCUCAGGCAAAAGGACAGAGCGG